AGUGAGAUGGCCUCACCCAUGCCCACCAGCUUUCCUCGCCGCCACGCCCACCGCCCUGCCUCGAUAAAUAGGUGAAGAAGAAAGAAAGUAGGCGAAGUAUUUAGCAUCAACACCCAAAAUCUACAGAGUAGCAGUACGAAACCCAGAUUAUGGCUACUGAGCAGUCGAUUUUGGCGGUGAUACGGGCGGCGCGGCCACAAUUCCGCACCGCCUUUGAUAAGGCAGCGUACGCCGUCCACGCGUCCUUUGUUGCCACCGGAUACGUCCUCCACGCCACCGGUCCUCCUGCUUUCGCCGACGACGCUCUUUCCGUAUCCUGCAAAGAUGAAGUUGGGAUGGAUGGUUGGAACGAUGUCGAACAUAAUUAUGCGUUCGUAUACUCGAACCCGGAGAAGGGUUCGAAAAAGGUGCUCGUGAAGUGCCUUGUGAUGAAUGAUAAAUUGAUCGUUGAUGUUCUCAAGGAAGGAGGCUCCGAGCCUCUGCAUCUUGAACUGGAUGCUGGUGAAUAUGUCCGAGAGGAUGCCGGGAGCAAUUAUGGUUCGCAGUUCAAGAAUUUGGGGAAGCUGGUGGAAAAUGUUAACAAGGAAAUUUUAAACAAACUGGAUGCUGCGUCGGCUUCUAGCUCGUCAGCGAAAAGCUCUAGUACAGAGGCAAGUAUAAGAGAAGAAAGAGAUCGGCUCAGGGUAGGACCUGACACAGAAGACCCUUACACGCCCUUACAUCCUGGAUACGUUGUUCCACCAAUUCCUGGUUUUGGCGGCAGUGACCUCUUUCCUGGCCCAGGGGCUGGAAUGUACCCAUCCAGGGGUGAUUUUGGAGGUGGAAGCAUGUUGGUGGGUCCUGAUGAUCCGAGGUUCUUUGGGGAUCGAACUCGUGGCCCUGGAUUUCCUGGUGGUCUACCAGGUGUACCCCCUGGUGCCCGCUUUGAUCCCUAUGGACCUCCUAAUGUACCUGGAUUUGAGCCUGGUCGAUUUGCCAGGUAGUUUACACUGACUUCGUUGUCUAGUUGAGUAAUGAGUCGAACUGUCCAUGACUAUAUUUUACCGUAGAAAUCCACCAAGAUCUGGAGGAGGAUUACAUCCAGACUUGGAGCACUUCCAUAACGGCUCGGAUUUUAUAUAGGACCAACCAGGCAAACAUGUCAUUUCUGCUUUAAUCACUUUAGUUUUUGUUUUACCGUUUAAAUUUGAAGCAUGAUGCCAUAUGUGGUAUAGUAUAUAGCAAUAAAAUGGGUGCUUUUUGUUUAGUUGGUAUUGUUUCUAGACACCAGUAUAAUAAACAUUUUCUUCUCUUGUUUGGUA